UAGGGAAUCUUCGGCAAUGGGGGGAACCCUGACCGAGCAACGCCGCGUGAGUGAAGAAGGUUUUCGGAUCGUAAAGCUCUGUUGUUAAGGAAGAACGAGUGUGAGAAUGGAAAGUUCAUACUGUGACGGUACUUAACCAGAAAGGGACGGCUAACUACGUGCCAGCAGCCGCGGUAAUACGUAGGUCCCGAGCGUUGUCCGGAUUUAUUGGGCGUAAAGCGAGCGCAGGCGGUUAGAUAAGUCUGAAGUUAAAGGCAGUGGCUCAACCAUUGUAGUCUUUGGAAACUGUUUAACUGGAGUGCAGAAGGGGAGAGUGGAAUUCCAUGUGUAGCGGUGAAAUGCGUAGAUAUAUGGAGGAACACCGGUGGCGAAAGCGGCUCUCUGGUCUGUAACUGACGCUGAGGCUCGAAAGCGUGGGGAGCGAACAGG
rnacentral:rRNA from 1 species